GUUUCUGUAGCAUAGUGGUUAUUAGAUUUGCUUAAGAUGCAAAAGGUCUCUGGUUUGAAACCAGUCAGGAACA